GACGAACGCUGGCGGCGUGCUUAACACAUGCAAGUCGAACGGACAGGCCCGGAUUUCAGCGGGAGCUGGGGGAGCAACAGGUGGGAACGUACGCUUCGGAUCGGAACAACACUGGGCAAAUGGAGCUAAUACCGGGUACGACUUUAGGGGGAAAGGUUUACUGCCGAAGGAUGGGCCCGCGUCUGAUUGGCUGGUUGGUGGGGUUACGGCCUACCAAGGCGACGAUUAGGAUCUGGUCUUAGGGGCUGAUCAGCCACACUUGAGCCGAGACACGGCCCAGACGGCGACGGGAGGCAGCGGAGGGGAAUACUGGGGAAUGGGCGCAGGCCUGGUCCAGCCAUGCCGCGGGUGUGAUGAAGCGCUUAGGGUAGAACAGCUCUUUUGUCCGGAACGGUAAUGACGGUACCGGAAGAAGAAGCACCGGCUAACUUCGUG
rnacentral:rRNA from 1 species